rnacentral:rRNA from 1 species
UACAGAGGGUGCGAGCGUUAUCCGGAGUUACUGGGCGUAAAGCGCGGGCAGGCGGUCUGACAAGUCUGAUGUGAAAUCUCCGGGCUUAACCGGGAGAGGCCAUUGGAAACUGACAGGCUGGAGGGCAGUAGAGGUAGGCGGAAUUCCGGGUGGAGUGGUGAAAUGCGUAGAGAUCCGGAGGAACACCAGAGGCGAAGGCGGCCUACUGGGCUGCACCUGACGCUGAGCCGCGAAAGCCAGGGGAGCGAACGGG